rnacentral:misc_RNA from 1 species
GUAAGUAUAACGACGUGCAACAUAACUGUAACCAUCUUUAGACCUAUGUUGAAGGUGAUUCCUUCUGUUUCGUGUUGACGACGUUCUACCUCUGCAACAGGAAAUCAAGUAACACCUACGGCCGAUCAUAUCCUUGAGAUGAGCGGUAAACGGCGAAAUUGUGUAGGGUGCUAUGAAAAACUGCGGGAAACCAUGAAGAGUUCCGAGG